CCUAAAACAAGGAUGUAUAAGUUAAAGAACAAGUUCUAUAAAGCGAUGGACUACGGAUUUAUGAACUAGAAAGUAUAGUUACUGACGAUAACGUUACCUUUAUGUUAAAUAGGCUAAAAAGAGGGACAAAGUGAAUGGUUUUGCGAUUAGUCGUCAACAGGUACAGAUAAUCGGUUUGGUGACCCGUCAGCAUAGGACUUCUACUCAGCUGUCCUGGAGAGCUCCGUUGUUUCGGAGUCUAAACUUUUAGUACAGAUCCUACGAUAUAUAUGUAUAUGUUAUCCAGGGGUACGACGGGGCCCUGUCCCGUCAUAUUUUGCUAUUCGUACUCUUAGAGGUCUGUAGACAUAUAUGUGGGUUGUGUAUCAGUUCUGUUCAGCUGUGUCUAUACGAUGUGCUAUGAUAUGAUGUCCGUCCGUAGUGGCAGCCUUGCCGGCUUGCAUAUGACAUGAUAUUGAUGUGUAGUGGCAGCCUUGUCGGCUUGCGUAUCAUUUUAUGAUUUGAUCAGUUGUGACUCCUCAGGAGACAGUUUAUCUGAAUAUACAUAUAUGAUGACGCUAUGAACU